CCUACGGGAGGCAGCAGUAGGGAAUCUUCCACAAUGGGCGAAAGCCUGAUGCAGCAACGCCGCGUGGGUGAAGAAGGUCUUCGGAUCGUAAAACCCUGUUGUUAGAGAAGAAAGUGCGUGAGAGUAACUGUUCACGUUUCGACGGUAUCUAACCAGAAAGCCACGGCUAACUACGUGCCAGCAGCCGCGUUAAUACGUAGGGGGCAAGCGUUAUCCGGAUUUAUUGGGCGUAAAGGGAUCGCAGGCGGUCUUGUAAGUCUGAUGUGAAAGCCUGAGGCUUAACCGGAGUAGUGCAUUGGAAACGGGGGGACUUGAGUGCAGAAGAGGAGAGUGGAACUCGAGGUGUAGCGGUGAAAUGCGUAGAUAGAUGGAAGAACACCAGUGGCGAAAGCGGCUCUCUGGUCUGUAACUGACGCUGAGGUACGAAAGCGUGGGUAGCAAACAGGAUUAGAUACCCGAGUAGUC
rnacentral:rRNA from 1 species